rnacentral:rRNA from 1 species
UGGGGAAUAUUGGACAAUGGGCGAAAGCCUGAUCCAGCCAUGCCGCGUGUGUGAAGAAGGUCUUCGGAUUGUAAAGCACUUUAAGUUGGGAGGAAGGGCAGUAAGCGAAUACCUUGCUGUUUUGACGUUACCGACAGAAUAAGCACCGGCUAACUCUGUGCCAGCAGCCGCGGUAAUACAGAGGGUGCAAGCGUUAAUCGGAAUUACUGGGCGUAAAGCGCGCGUAGGUGGUUCGUUAAGUUGAAUGUGAAAGCCCCGGGCUCAACCUGGGAACUGCAUCCAAAACUGGCGAGCUAGAGUAGGGCAGAGGGUGGUGGAAUUUCCUGUGUAGCGGUUAAAUGCGUAGGUAUAGGAAGGAACACCAGUGGCGAAGGCGACCACCUGGGCUCAUACUGACACUGGGGUGCGAAAGCGUGGGGGGCAAACAAG